rnacentral:pre_miRNA from 1 species
UGUGUACUCCCUCCGUUCGGAAUUACUUGUCAUAGAAAUGGAUGUAUCUAGACGUAUUUUAGUUCUAGAUACAUCCAUUUCCGAGACAAAUAAUUCCGAACGGAGAAAGUAUAAG